AGUGGGCGGAGCCUCGUGAAUGACGGUUAUUUUUUUCAAACGAGGAAGUGAAGUCAAGUCCGCCAUUUCAUCUUCUUCUUUAUAUCGGAAAAGAAAGGAAUCAUGCAAGGAUGCAAGCUGAAGGAAAGGACAACUCUCACAUCAGUGCAUUACUAAUUGUUUGACUUCAUCAUCAAGCACACCAGACGGUGCGGUGGAACAGUGGAUAGCUCUGUUGCCUCCCAGCAAAAAUGUUUCUGGUUCGAGCCUCGGCUGGGUCAGUUGGCAUUUCUGUGUGAAGUUUUUAUGUUCUCCACGUGUUGGCGUGGGUCUCCUCCGGGUGCUCCGGUUUCCCCCACAAGACAUGCGGUACAGCUCAGAUUGUGAUGGACCGGGAAUGCGACACCAGUUACUCUUAAGUCAAGAACCAAAUGAAGCACCAGAGUACAGAUUAUGGAGGUAUCUGAAGUUGAACUAACUGGAAGCAGGGAACCAUACUAAUAAAGUUCCUUAAGCAGGUUCCUUGUAAAGAUGAACCCAGGGAAGGAUCGAAAGUGGAGAAGACCAGAUCAAGAAAGACCACAUCAAGAUCUGCGGUCAGUUCAAAGGUACUUUCACUAAUUACCAAGAUUUCAGACUAUGAAUUGAUGGAGUAAACUUGUCAGUGAGUGUCAGAUCUUCCUAGCAAAAAUUCUUCCCAGUGUCUUGUAGUAGAAGUGAUGCAGUCAAUCAAGUUUACAUUAUUUCGUAAAUUGCUUUCCGAUUUAAUAAAAAUAUAAUAACCAAACUUGAUUAAUGUAACAAUUUUGAUGAAAAGGGCAUGUUUAACUAAAGCUUUUAGCACAAAGGCAUCCCCAUCUUGUAAUAUUACUGUGUCUGACGUCACGGGGUUGGUAUGCUGGAAACGUUUUUGAAUGAGGUAUUUGUAUGAUUUAUACAUAGUCUGUCUUAAAGCGUCACUAAAUUGUACAGGCAUUACAGG